AUUGAACGCUGGCGGCAGGCCUAACACAUGCAAGUCGAACGAGUGGCGGACGGGUGAGUCAUGUCUGGGAAACUGCCCGAUGGAGGGGGAUAACUACUGGAAACGGUAGCUAAUACCGCAUACCAUCAGAUGUGCCCAGAUGGGAUUAGCUUGUUGGUGGGGUAACGGCUCACCACGGCGACGAUCCCUAGCUGGUCUGAGAGGAUGCCCAGCCACACUGGAACUGAGACACGGUCCAGACACCAAAGAGAGGCAGCAGUGGGAAAGAUUGCACAAUGAGCGCAAGCCUGAUGCAGCCAUGCCGCGUGUAUGAAGAAGGCAUGCGGGUUGUAAAGUACUUUAAGCGGAGAGGCGUUACCCGCAGAAGAAGCACCGGCUAACUCCAUGCCAGCAGCCGCGGUAAUUC
rnacentral:rRNA from 1 species